GAGAUAGAAGGAAUGAUGUGCUUCUUGUAAGAGAGGGGAUGGUGGGGGAAAUGGGAGGAUUAACUUGACUCCUCGUCAGACAAUUACUUGCCUUAUUCUUCUGCUCCUUUCUCUACACCCCCCAUCCCCCUACCAUUCAUUUCCCGAAGCUCUCGAAAAACUCAAAUUGAUAGUAUCUUCUCUUCCAUCUCCCUGGCUCCCAUGGUAUCCUCGAAACCCAAAUCCAACCUAUCUGUGGCUUCAAACGGCAACACGACACCAGCAAAAUCCAAGGGUAGCAAAGUAGUCUGGAAUGGAUCUACCGAGUCAGCAUCUGUCUGGUUCACCUUCUCCAGUGAAAAGGGCACCUUUUUUUUGCCAAAUGUAUCUUCACCUGUGCUGAAGUCAUCUUCUCCUGUGCCAAAGCCACACACUUUCUUGAAGCGACCACCAAAAUGGGUGGAGUCCAAGCAACCAACUAAGACCAGCACAAGUCCUGAAGUAGGAAUGCAAAACAUCGCAUGCUAGGCCCAGAACCCACAACGAACAUUGAAAGGCUCAGAGCUACAAGAAAAGUUGGAUGCCAUUGCUGAAGAUUUAAAGAAAGCAAGAGCGCAAUUGGCUUUUGUCGAGCUGGAGAAGGUCCAGGCUAUCGAGGAGUUGAAUGAAAGCUAAGAGAUUGGCCAAUGAGACAAAUGAGAAACUCGAGGCCGCAAUUGUUUCUAAGAAGAUGAUUGAGGAUCGCUUGGAGGUUGAGAAGGUUCGGGCCGAUGAGUUGGAACAAGAGAGCAUUGAAGGUGCACGAAAAAGGGAGGAGGAGCAUCAAAAGGAACUCGAAAGCGUCCGAAAUCAACAUGCUCUGGAUGGUUCAGCGCUGCUGUCGAUGACUCAGGAAUUCCAAAAAGUGAAACUUGAAUCAACUAAUGCCAACAUUGCAAAGAACACUGCCCUGAGCAAAGCGGAUGAAGCAAACAAGAUUGCUGAAACGAAUGGACAAAAGGUGGAUAUCUUGUCCAAAGAAGUGAGCCAUUUGAAGUCCUUGUUUGAUUCCAAGCUGGAUAAUGUAAACA